AGGUGGCAUUAUAUCUCACUCUUUUGAAUUGGAGGCCAAGAUGAAAGGACUGUUUAGUGGUGCAACAGCUGUUAUUACAUUUCGCUUUCCCUCAAAGGCUGCUCUGCAGGAGAGUGUUGAUGCUUUUAUCAGCAGUGUUGUGAAAAACAUAGGAUUCAGCUAGGGAAAGCACGUUGCCUGUUUGAUCAGAAUAUGGAAGGACCAGUCACAUAUACAAUUGUUAUACUUUCGAUGAGAAUACUCCACUUGUUGAUGAUCCAGAGUACAUCUCUGCAUUGGGUGAAACAAUAUUCAAGGGACUGCAAAGCAGAGAUAAGGAUGGGGUCUGGCUAAUGCAGGAGAGAGAUCUUUUUGCAGUUCGGUGAUGGACCAAGAGAGAUGAUAUAUUGUUCUUAUUUCAGAUUAAAAAAGAGUGAAAUGAGUCUCCUGUAGGGUUGUUUACAAUA